rnacentral:lncRNA from 1 species
AACGCAUUACCCACUUUCCUUUGACACAACUGGUGUCCCCUUUUAUAAGUCCAUGUUUAUAUGGCAAUCCUUAACCCCUUGUUUAGUCGAACUACGACAACUCUGAUUCUCAUGUUCAGAUGAGAUACGUAGGCACGAGAUGCGAUGUCUUGCCGAGUUUGACUGACGACUAACAACUAAUCCUUAUUUGCUUUCGCCCUUGCUGCGAUUCUUU